rnacentral:rRNA from 1 species
CUACGUGCCAGCAGCCGCGGUAAUACGGAGGAUGCGAGCGUUAUCCGGAUUUAUUGGGUUUAAAGGGUGCGUAGGCGGCCUGUUAAGUCAGCGGUGAAAUCUAGGAGCUUAACUCCUAAAUUGCCAUUGAUACUGGCGGGCUUGAGUGUAGAUGAGGUAGGCGGAAUGCGUGGUGUAGCGGUGGAAUGCAUAGAUAUCACGCAGAACUCCGAUUGCGAAGGCAGCUUACUAAGGUACAACUGACGCUGAAGCACGAAAGCGUGGGUAUCAAACAGGAUUAGAUACCCUGGUAGUCCACGCUGUAAACGAUGAUAACUGGGCGUAUGCGAUAUACAGUAUGCUCCUAAGCGAAAGCGUUAAGUUAUCCACCUGGGGAGUACGCCGGCAACGGUGAAACUCAAAGGAAUUGACGGGGGCCCGCACAAGCGGAGGAACAUGUGGUUUAAUUCGAUGAUACGCGAGGAACCUUACCCGGGAU